CACUGACAUUAGACUACCCCGGUAGUCCCAGCCGUAAACUAUGCGCGUUAGGUGUAUCGGUGACCACGAGUUACCGAGGUGCCGAAGGGAAACCGUGAAACGUGCCGCCUGGGAAGUACGGUCGCGAGGCUGAGACUUAAAGGAAUUGGCGGGGAGCACCACAACAGGUGGAGCCUGCGGUUUAAUUGGAUUCAACACCGUAAAACUCACCAGGGAAGACUGUUACAUGAAGGCCGAGAUGAAGACUCUGCUAGAUCUUCAG
rnacentral:rRNA from 1 species